GUGCAGGCAACCCCAACCAGUCUUAGCCUAACCUUCCUUCUGGGCACACGUACCACCACCAUCACCACCGCCACCACCACCACCACUACUACUACUACUACUACUUCUUUUACUAUUCUAUCUCUCUCUCAUGGCUCGUUCUUCUCUCCGGCUCCUCGUCCUCCUCCUGCACCUCCUCCUCCUACAGACACUGACGGAGGCGCUGAUGGGGGGGGAGACGAGCCGGCUAAUCCAGUUCACCCAAGCGAAUUUACCAGAAUUUGUCUCGUUUGUGAAAAGAGAUUUAAUUCCUUUUUCUUCCUCUUCUUCUUCUUCUUCUUCCUCUUCUUCUUCCUCCUCUUCUUCUUCCUCUUCAUCAGCUGUUGUUUUGUCAAGGAAGAAGAGAUAUUUAGCUUUACCUGUUGGCUCCAAUAUUGAGAUUAAAUGGUCCAUGAAUUUUCCUUUCAACACCUUUACGUUGUACGAGGCGGCUGCAGCUCUCGCCAUUCCCAUUAAAAUUCCCAUUCCUGAUUCCCUGGUGCUGGAAGAAGAGCAAGUUUUUAAAAGAUCGAUCUCACAGUACGCCGGGGCAAGACGGGCCAACCUGGACGCGAUCAGGAAGGGCGAGGACAGGAGAGAGAAGAUUUACGUAUAUAAUUAUUUUGAAAGCGCAUUUGGGAAGGCUGGCAUGGCGGGGCGUAGCUGUGUCCUACGUGCCAUCUGUGAAGUGGCAGAGGCGCCCUUCGAUCAGGGGCUGCUGGGAGAACUUGUCAAUACCAUGCUGACACCCUCUCUCGCUGGGAAACCGACGGAGGAGGAGGCGUGGAUGAAUUACACGGAUUAUCUCGAAGCAGAAGUCCACGGUAGGGUUGUAGGCAGGUGUGGGCACAGGUAUGUAGGAUGUGGUAUCUCCCCUUUUGAUCUUCUGUACGAGGCUGUCCAUAUGCUGGCGAAGUGAGAGGGAGUGGGGGAGAGAGAGAGAGGGAGUGGGUAACAGUGAGAGGGCGUGGGAGAGAGAGAGGGAGUGGGUAAGAGCGAGAGGGCGUGGGAGGAAGUGGGGUGACUAAUGUAAUUUAUUUGUUUGUUUGUUUGUUUGUUUGUUUGUUUGUUUGUUUGUUUGUUUGUUUGUUUGUUUGUUUGUUUGUUUGUGUGUGUAGUAGUUACUUGUAUUACUUAAAUUACUUAUGUUACCUUGUAAGUAUAUUUAUUUCGUAAGUAAUCUUAAGUAAUUUAUUGUAAGUGUAGAGAGAGAGAGAGAGAGAGAGAGAGAGAGAGAGAGAGAGAGAGAGAGAGAGAGAGAGAGAGAAUUAUUAUUGUUAUUAUUAUUGUUAUUAUUAUUUUUAUCAUUAUUAUUCCUGUACUAUUAGAUUUAUUGUUCUAUUUAUUCGUGGAGGAGAAGGAGGAGGAAGAGGAGGAGGAGGAGGAGGAGGAGGAGGAGGAGGAGGAGGAGGAGGAGGGGACCAGAGCCAGUAACAAUAAUCAAAUCUAAUUAUUAUUUUUUUUUUUCAUAAUUAAUAAAAAAAUCUAAUGUUUGUUUUUUGUUUGUUUUCUUUUGUGUGUGUGUAGAGAGAGAGAGAGAGAGAGAGAGAGAGAGAGAGAGAGAGAGAGAGAGAGAGAGAGAGAGAGAGAGAGAGAGAGAGGGGGGGGUAGGGGAGGAAGGAUUUUCAUAACAAACUUUCUAAUUUAAUUCUUUGCUUUUAAUUUUCUUUCAUUAAAUUUUUUUUUUUUUUUUGCUUAUUAACACCGAAAAUCAUCAUAAUUGUUGUUGUUGUUGUUGUUGUUGUUGUUGUUGUUGUUGUUGUUGUUGUUGACCUUAAAUUUUCUUGUUCUUCUUUUUUGUUCCUUUCUUCCUUUUCUUCAAUUUUGCUGUUGUUGUUGUUGUUGUUGUUGUUGUUGUUGUUGUUGUUGUUGUUGUUGUUGUUGUUGUUGUUAUUAUUAUUAUUAUAGUUAUUGUUGCUAUUGUUGUUGUUGUUGCUGUUGUUGUUUUAAUUGUUGUUGUUGUUGUUGUUGUUGCUGUU